rnacentral:rRNA from 1 species
GACGAACGCUGGCGGCGUGCUUAACACGUGCAAGUCGAACGAUGAAGAAGAGAAACGCGAACUUCGGUUCAAAUUUCACUUCGGAUUAGUGGCAGACGGGUGAGUAACGCGUGAGCAACCUACCUCUUACAAAGGGAUAGCCUCGGGAAACCGUGAUUAAUACCAUAUGACACAUUCAUAAGGCAUCUUAAGAAUGUUAAAGCUACGGCGGUAAGAGAUGGGCUCGCGUCCCAUUAGCUAGUUGGUGAGGUAACGGCCCACCAAGGCGACGAUGGGUAACCGGCCUGAGAGGGUGAACGGUCACAUUGGAACUGAGACACGGUCCAAACUCCUACGGGAGGCAGCAGUGGGGAAUAUUGCACAAUGGAGGGAACUCUGAUGCAGCGACGCCGCGUGAGCGAUGAAGGAAUUCGUUUCGUAAAGCUCUGUUCUAUGGGAAGAAGAGGACUGUACCAUAGGAGAAAGCCCCGGCUAAAUACGCG